AAUUGUACUUUGAAAAGCGCGAAUUAUCUUUGUGUUUACCUUUCAUUUUAGGUUUAUCAAGGAUUGUGUAAUAAUCUUCAACUUCAAUACCUUCCCAAAGAGAGAGGAUUCACGUUCGUUAAAAAAGGUAACGAUGUGAGGUGGUACCCUCUUAAAGAGGGAGGGCAUGGAAAUAACCCAUCUCCUUUUCGAACCAUUUGUGGUUCCUUGGAUUUUGGAAAUAAUUCUGUACUGAUCAUGAACAAGAUGGUUUGUGAUCUUGGAAAACAAAUUUCGAGCAAGUGGCCUGAUUUGAGGAAAAAUCAUAUUCAAGAGGGAGGGAAUGAUACAAACCCCAUCGUAUCAUGGUUCGACACAAUUCGACAACAUCGAGCAUGGCCUGAGUUCGAGGGGCCCAAGUUCAAAAUGAAGCCUGAUCUUAAUUUCAACGAGCUCAAUUCAGCUCGAUUAUAGCUCAAUGAGCUCGUUUGUUUGUUUUUGAGUUUAUUUAAUUUUUUUUUGGCAUUUAUGUUGCUGGAAUAAACUUAUUUAGUUAAAUUAGUUAAUUAGUUAAAUUAAUUAAA